CAGCUUCUCUUGGAAGCUUUGUUUUCAAAUCAAACGAAUUUCAUUUUUUUAUUUGCUUUACUUGCGUUUCAAGUAUUCAAAUUCAAACAGAAUGUAUUCAAAUUAUAGAAGUUGCUUAUCUCUCUGUAUAUUGUGCGUACUGUCUCUUUCUUUUCCUACCUUCUUCUUCCUGUCAAUUCUGUUACGUUUCUCUCUUUUAUGUUCGUAGUGUUUCUUCAGUAUAAUCUCUAUUCAAUUAUUAAUUUUCUAAUGAUUUCUAAGUCUUAUAAUUGCAGGUUAAACUUCGUUGACAAAGUGUUUGAUGAUUGGUCCAAAAGAAAAAAAUAUGGUAAAUUUGUCAAUGUUAGGUCUUUUUUUGUAUACGAUACACUAACUUUGCAUACUAUGUUUAUUCAUAUUCAUGAUUUGAUAAUAUUUAUGGAGAUUUGCAGGUUGGAGGCUUAAUUAGUUAUAUGCAUAUCUUUGUUUAUCAUUUUUUUGUUUGGGUUUUAUGUAUGUAUUCUGUUAAUUAUUGAUUUUCUACUGAUCAAUGAUAAUUUUUCUACAUUUUUGUUUAGGUGAAUGUUUAUUUGAGAUUAAGGAUAUUAAAAUUAUCUGAGUUACAUGAGGUGGGAUAGCUAUAUUUUUUUUAAUAUAUAUGGUGGUAAACAUUCUUUAUAUUAUAUAAUAAAAUGCUUAACUUACUGCUUAUAUUUUAGUAGAUGACUCUAUUAAACUGUUUGUCUCUCGCUUUAUUUUUAGAUUACAAAGCACUUAAACGAAGAAAGACAGCAAGAAAUGUUAAGAAAGAAGAUGGUUUCAGGAAUACAGAGCCACAUGAUUUUUGUUUGAACAAUUCAGAGGCACCAACCAGCUCAGAAUUCUCUUCUGACAACUAAACAUGUA
rnacentral:lncRNA from 1 species